GAAGCAAGUGUUGAUCCUAACGGCCAGAUAUGCAGAGUACGUCUGACCGUAUGAGAUCCAGGAGAGCGUCUGCGGAGCUCAUGAUGGGUUUUCCACUGUCCUCGGAGUCCUCUUUCUGUGCCAUUCCGCCCGGAUGGAUGAUUAACACCAUGACGAUUCCCACCACCACGGCCAGGAAUGUGAAUAGAAUGAUUUCUGAAGGACCAUGUGACACUGAAGACUGGAGGAUUGAUGCUGAAAUUUAGAGACCCCAAACCUCUGAGCAGUAGUUUUAAACAAUGAAAAUCUAUAGACAUUAAACCAGUUUGUUAUCCAUUAAGAGCAAUAUCAAGUCUUACCUGGACACAACCAGAGGCAAAAUCAACAUCUUCAACAUCCUCAUCAGCAGCUCUCCAGGAAACUGGAAGUAUUUCACUUCCUAGAGUAGAAAAGAGACACAGCAAUCAACAAAACACUGAUCGGUCACAAGUUUUCCACACAACUGAGAAAUGA